CAGAAACCCUGCAGGACCCAAUGUUACUACCCUGAAUAGAAGACAGUAUUGAAUGUUGCAAAGGUUAGAAGGGAGAUGAUUGACCAGUAAAAUGAUGGAAAUGCAAGAAAAUAAGAAUGUUAAGAUUUUUCAACGCCCACACCCUAAGAAACGGGAUUGAAAAGCAGUGACUUCAAGUAUAACACCAGAGUUUCCAUUUGGAUCCUUGAGGCAGUUGGAGUGAUCAAGCUUUCAAAUCCCUGAAAACGUGAGCUGUGCUAUGUCUGGGGCAGGCUCCAUAUUUUUAUUAUGUACCACACAACUCUAAAAGCAAUACAGAAAUUCAGGGCACUUAGAUUGAAAAAUGAACACUUUCCACAUUUAAAGGAGAAAGACUUACAUAUUUUUGGAGUUACAUACAUUCUUCAUCCCAUUUAUGAAAUCCAAAACCCACGGUUGGGCAUAAAGCAGGAGAUUUAAUACUCUUCUGCUGGUGGGUUUUGUUGAUUUUUACUGCCCCCUCCACCCACCCCUACCUUAUCCCACUCCAUCCCCUCUGCUCUUUUUGUUCUUCAUAGUUUUGUGCUAACUUCAGAGCUGCAAAUGUGUCAUUGAUCACAGAUUUAUAUAUAUGAGCUAAGAGCAGGAAUGCUAAAAUAAUUUCUUUCUCAGGCCUUAAAGAUAAAUGAUAGGUCAAGAUGCUUUACUUCAUAGCCAAACAUACUAAGGCACAGAGCAACAUGGCAGGAAUUUGAGUUGUGAGCGCCAGAAGUGCUUGUUCAGCACUAACAAGAAAUAGGAGAAUAGGAUCAGUAUAAUCUCAUAUUCUUAUUAAAUUAAAAAAAGACAGAGAGUAAUGCCAAGGUUAUGACAUGAACUGACAAGACCAAAAAAAAAAUCAGUUUUUCUGAUGCUUCAGCCUUUGCAAGCAUAGGAAAGAAUUAAAAAAAAAAAAAAAAAAAGCCCUGUGGCAUGAGUUAUAGAUGAAGUAUCUGCCUUUAGCUUGGAAUUUCCUGGCAUUUUUCAGCCUGUGACACAGACUUGAUGUGAUUAAACAAAGGCUUUUCUCCAAAUUUAAAGCUCUUAAAAAAAAAAGCUGAAUCUAAUACUCUAACUUGUUUUUAAAUGGGAGCAGAUGCCUCUGUUUCUUGAGCUGACUUCCAGAUUCUGAGAAAUAAAUGAAGAGUGGAGGCUUGUUUUGGUAGAGGCUGAGAAAAGGAGUUGGCCAUAUUUGCCCUUCAGAACUUCGUGUCAUCCCCCAGCUCCCCAACGGCAGGGCCACAUUCUUUCACAGGACGGAGUUGGGGCAGAUUAUGGCUUCCUCUGGAUUGGAUUUCCCUUGGCUUCCCUGAGGGCAAUCCCCCGAGGAAGCACAUCCUGGAGCCAAACUCACCCAAUGAACCACAGCAACAGCUCCUAGGAGAAUGAAGAGUGUGAAUGGAUGGCCUUUUCAAAAUGAUGAGCCUGGAAGAGUUACAGACUCUGGCCCGAAAGAACCAAAGUUGAAGGUAGAGAUGUUUUAAGGAUGAGCAGAGCAGAACAACUUAGCAGUGGGAUGUUAAAGGCAACAUGAAUCAAUGAGAAGCACAUGAUGACCUUGUUAAUAUGAAAAUUGAUAAUGGGGUGAGAGAAGAAAAGAAAAGCAUAAAAUACCUGUCUAAUCCAUGCACCACCAGACACCAGAGCAUGUGGGAAGUGGCCAAGAAGAUGAUGCAGGGACGUCUGAGCCCACUUUCUUAUUGGACUUUCCUAGGAUGCUGCCAGUGACCCCAGAGCCUUUUGUUUUCCUCCAAUAUUCUCAGUGCUUUAAAUAUUUAAUGAUCCUUCAACGUCUCUCUGAAUGCACUCCAAAUUAUGGAAGUCCUGGUUGAGAGUGGGGCCUGGAGCAGUUUAGAACCCUCUAAUCAAAGGCAGGUCCAUCUCUGGAGGAAGUUCCUACCUGGGGCAGAGAACAACUUAUAGCACAGUGCUCCAAAAUUUUCAGAGAACUGUGGGUAAGAUGAAUAUCAAGGUCAGGCUUAAAGUGGAGCAACAAGGGAACGGAUAUCCCAGUUAGCAAUCUGUGGCCCAGGGAGUGAGAGAACUUUAGCCUCAGCCAUUGCAUUUGUAACUGUUUGAGGAUGCAGGAGGGAGGGUCCAGGCUGGGCCUAGAGGACACUGAGACAUAUCUGGGCUUAUCUAAUGAGGUUGAGAAGUUGGUGGGCCACCAGGCUUGCUUAACGGGAGGGUAGAGAUUUUCACAUUGGAGUUUUCAUGUGGUGAUGUGUUUCCUUAGCCUCCCUGUUUUCUAGGAUACAUGGACUAAGGCAUUGGAGUGAGAUAGGAAAAGCUGGAAGGUCUCUAUGAGAUCAUGAGAGGCAGGGGUAAAGGGAUCUGCAGUAACUCAGUGUGACACAGUGUGGAACAGAAUGAUCUCUUUGCCUCUGUGGGGAGGACAGCGUGCCCUAGCACUGUGGCUGGUAGUGUUGGUGUGUCAAGGUCUGUUUCAGGUGGCACUGAAGGCUCUAUGAGCAUUGGCGGCAGAGUGGUGUGUUGGUGAAGAAGGAAAGCCCUAGAGCUCACAGCCAUCGAAGAGACACACCUAAGACAGCUCCUCACACUCCCAGAAAUGUCCUGGGGGAACUUUACAGGGGCUUCACUGGGAUGUGUGUGGGGAGGGCAAAUUUCGGUUAUUAUUUUAAUUGUUAGCCUAACCAUGUCUGCAUCAUGAUACCAUAAGCCAGGGAAACAGUUGGGUCAGAAUUAAUGGAAAUUGUUACUUUUCUCACGCGGUGAUGUUUUAAGUGCCUGCUGAACUCCAUUUCGGGCCCAUAGACUCAGGCCACGCAGGAGUGCCUCAUUUCUGACCUUAUAGAUGACUCAAGUAGGACCCUGAGAGACUGCUGAAAGCUUUCCUUCAUUUUAACUAAUUCAGCACAUAUUCUGUGGUUGCUUUCAGAGAGUAAGGCCUUGUACCAGGAACUUCCACUGUAGCCAAAUAGAAUCUGCAAGCGUGCCAUAAGAGAAAGCCUGGUGCAAGGGACAGAAGAUAGUUCCAGAAUCAAAAGACCUCUGUUUGUAUUUCAGGACAUGUUAUUUUGGGCAAAGAAUCUGAUGUCUCUGGGCUCUAGUACUCUCAACUGUGAAAUGAGAAAAUAUUUUAUGAAUGCAAAAUUGGGACAUAGAGUCUGACCAAGGUUUCCUAUGGGAGUUUCAGACAUGGUAAUUAGAAACCAGGAAGACUGAGAAGGAAUCAAAUUUGCAGCAGCUCAGUAAGUGGUAGACUGGGAACAAGAAGCCAGUUCUCUGGGCUCUUGAAGCAAGGCCCUGCCACGUUGUCUUUCCCCAGGAGAGGAGGAAACUGGGGAGGGAAUCAUGUUCCAGCAGUGAAGAACAAAGGCAGUUUUUUGGGGAUUUACAUACGCCAUCUCCUACAAAGUUAAAAAAUUUUCUUUUCCUGAAAGACUACAAUCAAGAUACAAACAUGUACAAUGGGUGAAGUGGAUUAACAAGUUUGUGUCAUGUUAAUUAUAUAUUUCAAUAAAGAUAAUUUUGGAACUAGUUUUAUGGAUGUAAAUAUAAAUUACAAGUUAACUAAAUUAUAUUGAGGAUGCAAAUAACUUUGGAAAUAAUUAUAGGUGUAAUCAGCCAUUUGAAAAUAAAAUGAAUACAAUUAAAC
rnacentral:lncRNA from 10 species